rnacentral:lncRNA from 10 species
GUGUUCCUUUGAAUUCUUUGCCUUAGCAAGAAUUUCUAAGGAGAUAAACUACUUCCCACUUGGUUUAUGUUUUCCCAUUUAUGAGUGGCCUCUGAUGUGAGAAUGGCAAGGUCUCUGGACCGCUUUCCUCAGAGGGUAUGCAAUAGGGUGGAUACUUGGAAGAAGUGGGAUCUCAACCCAAGUCAGUGAAAUUGACAGUUGUACUAUUCUGGAAUGGCAGAGCUACUAGAGUUCUAUUUGGCUGCUAUGUUGCUCUUACAGACAAGACUCAGCCACAUUUGGAAACCCAGCAGGCUUAUGAUACAAAUUCAUCCAUUUGGCCAAGGUUGUUGGAUGUAGGUCGACGCAUCAACAUUUCAUAAAAAGUUCAUUCACCAUGUGACAGCCUUAUCCCUACUGCUUGUACAAGUGUCACCCUGUUACAAAAUAGCACAACA